rnacentral:lncRNA from 10 species
UGGCGCAAUCUCGGCUCACUGCAAGCUCCACCUCCUUUCUUAAUAGGGCAGUCUGAGUAGUCCGUUUACAACUUGAGUUGGAUCAUUUCAUCGCUCUGCUGAAAACUCUCCAGUGGUUCAUACUUAAAAUAAAACCUGAAGUCCUUACCGAGGUAUACAAGGCCCUACUGAAUGUGCCCGUGACUUCUAACUUCCUCUCCUCAUUGUUUACGGUGGUUCUACCUUCGCUAAAAUCUAGGCUCUUAGGCUCCAUGAGGGCAGGAAUUUUUGUCGUCUUGUUCACAGUUGUAUUCUCAACGCCUAAAACAGCGCUUGCAAUAGUAUGUGCUGGAUUAAAAAUUAGCUGACUGAAUGAAUAUAUGAAUGGAUGCUGUAGAGAAGAAUAAAAAGAAUGGGUCAGGAGGCGACAAGAG